GUAAGGAGCGUUGUGUUCAAACAACUGCAGUAUUUUCGCAUCGAAAGUACUGAUUUAGUAUCAUGGACAGCUUCGAAAGAUAGUUUUCCGGUACUAAAAUGUCUGAUCCUCAGAAACUGCACUAAGCUUGAUGCUGUUCCUGUUGAGUUUGGGGAAAUAGAAAGCCUUAAAUUGUUGGAAUUGUAUUGCACCAACAAGGGGGCAGUGAAUUCUGCUCAACAAAUACAGAAGCUGAAAGGAGGUGAAGAUGGAGAUACAAAAAAGGGUGGAUUUCAGCUCUCUGUCUACCCUCCUGAGCCUGAGAUUUCCCUUGAGGAGGUAAAUAGCGAAUCGUCCAUCAGUUCCUAAGUGCAUAGGGGGUCUUCAUCCUCUAAUUGGUCAAGGUUUUCCAAUGUCCUUACAACAAGGUUUUAGGGUGAUUGGGUGAACCAACUAAGCUAGCCUGCAGGGCUUGAUUGCACAUUUUAUGAAUGACUUUCUGAUUGUGAUUUCUACAGAAUGCUGAAAUUAAAUAAGUGGGCAAUGUUCCAUUAAACGGAGCUGCGUUCCAAUUUGUGUGCAGACUGCAUAUUCGUGUCACUGUUUGCAAUUUGAGUUGGAUUUUGAUUUGUUUUGUUUGUUUUAUCAUGGCUGCUUGUUGUUUUGGUUGUCUUGGCUUCUCAUUGAAUAUUACUCCGUAAACACUCAUUUUGGUGCUUUAAGAUAAAA